GAGAUGUCAGCUUUCUCCUCCCUGGGACGACCCAUAAAGGAUCAGAGAAAGUCACGCUGGAAAAGGUCUGUAAGGACCCCCAUUUCAACCCCUCAAUUUACAAAGAAGGCAAAUGAAAUCCUGGAGAAAUAGACUAUUUUCAGGUAAUGUAGCAAUUUAGAACUGGAACGCAGGUCUCCUGUUUCCCAGUCCAGUGUCUUUUUACAUGUCACGCACACUUGUUAUAGCUGAGUUUGAUGUCAAGGGCACUCUGUGUCUAAAACUCCUUGCCAAGUGUUUUUUAUUUAAUUUACUCCACCAUGUGCUCACUCAUAAUUAUUAAGUUCCUACAAUUGUAGCAAACUGCAUGUCUCUUCCCCAAAUGCGCUUCCUGUACAGUAAGCCUGUUCUUCUCAUUCCUUCCAGACUUACUGUUAAUUCGCUCAUCAUCUCAAGUCUUAUUAUGCUCUUCUUCCUGGGGCACAAAUGAACUCAAGCACUGAACUGCUUCAUCAUUCCUGAUACUAAAAGUUUAAUUUCAGAAAUUCUCAGGCCAGGCCCAUUUCCUAAACUUCUGGCAGCAUCUACUAUAGGCAGGCUUCAUGGCACCCACGGGAUGGCCUCAUUCACCCUGUCAUCAUCCAUUCCCCAUGUCAACCCAGACUCACAUUCAGCUAAUGUUUAUUGAGCAGUCUCUGUGCUCGAUGCUUUAUAUGCAUGAUGUCAUCUGAUCCAGAACAUAUUUCAGCUGGGUAAAUAUUGUCCCCAUUUUCCCAGUGAGGGACCUGAGGCCCAGGAAGGUUAGAACACCCUGCCCAAUUAUACCUUGGAGUGGAUGAGCCAGGUUGACUGCCUCCUGGUUCACUGUGUUUUUCUGGUAUCUCAGGCUACUUUGUCCCUUAGAUUUGAUGGGAGAAGUCCUGCUGGAUGGUGAAAUUAUCAUUUUAUUUCAUUUUUGCUGGCAAUAGAUUUUGUUGUGACAUGUUGUCUGCCAGCAUCAGACGUCCAGUUAUGUCUCAUCCCAGUUCCACACAUCCUGUGGAUAAUUCACAUACCAGCCGUUAAAAUAAUGUCUUUCAAAUGAGGAUGGUGGGGCAUGACCUGUGAAUGUUUCCUGCUCUCAAAGCCAGGAGAUGAAGGUAGCUGACUGCAAGCUAAGAGAGAAUCCUCCUCAUCUGUGGCAAUUUCUUUGCUCAGGGGAGAUCAGCGAUCACUUAGCGCUGCCUCUGGAUGUGGCUCUGCGGUUCCUCUGACGACUCAGCUUUUCAAGGCAGGAUGAGAAAGCCUGUGGGGUCAGGGUGGACGAGGGAGGGUGGCUUGAACGUGGGGAGAAGGUGAGGGCACCCCGCCUGGAGAUGUGGCGGGAGUAAUGAUGUGUGAAUCCUGCAUGACUCAGCCCUCUGGGCAGGUAAUGAAAACCCAACAGACACAAGCUUGUUUAAGAAAAUAUGCAUCAUUGAUGUGGCUAUUUUGGGAGAUGAAAGAGAGCUUGAAAAGGAGAAACAUGUGAAAAGUAUUCAAGUUGAGUGAGUGUGAUAGAAAACCAAGAUUUCCCUUCAUAAUUGAACAGUAAAAAGCAAAUGUGUCCUGAUCUUUCAAGUCACAGGGUUGGAAGGAAGAAUGGGGUGUGGGGGACAGAUGUUGGCAGUUGUUUGCUCUCUGGAUGUACACAUUGUGGUUUGGGGACUGAGGGACUUUGGAAGGGAUUUGCUCCUUUAUUCCUUUAUUGUUUCUAAGAGAAACCAGGCCUCAAGUGGGGUUGGGAAGGAAGAUUCUUCACACCAGCCCCCUGGACAUGCCAAAGCUUCCCCUGUGACAAGAGCCUGUGCUGGCAGACAUCUGCAGUUACCUCACAGCUCAGUGAGGGCAGAAAUCCUCUUUCUGAUCACUUGCAGCAGAUUCCAUGUGGAACCGUGAUCAACCAGGCAGAAGAUGGGGUGCAGGAGAAAACAGGCCACACAGGGCUCUGUGGCCUUUGAUGCACAUGUGUCAGAUGGGGGGCUGACGUGUCCUUUCACCCUUAGUGGAGUCCCGAGGCACAGGAGGAUGAGGCGUGUUUGAGAAGAGAGGAUCUGAAUCCUGCCUGCUCUGUUCUCUCCUAAUUCUCACCGCUGCCUCCCGACUGGUCUCUUCCAGGCACCCGGGUCCAGCCUUACACCCCACGUAGAAAAGGCACCUCUAACACCUUGGUUUUUAUCUCGUUGUUUUUGUUUUUUCCUGAAUUUCUGAUCCUGAUCUGCUCCCAACCCUCCUGACUGCUAAUAUCAUCAAUUGUUCGUUUAGUCAAUACAUAUUUAAGAAGACCUCACUGGGACUCUGUUCUCUCAUCUGUGCUGCAUCCCUUACCUCCCUCUGACUCGUUUGCCUCCUUUUCUGAUGCUCAGCCCAUGGAGACACAGCUUGCUCAUCAUUUGGAUUUUUUUAUUGGUUAAGACCUCUAGGAAACAUCCCUCAAGCUCUACUGCCCUGGGACUCUUCCUCUGGCAGCCUCCAUGGGGAGCACUCCUCCCCCAGCUUGGGGUUGUCAAAUUCCUUUAGGAACCCACACAUUCACCCUGCAGCUCAUCUUACAAAAGCCCUGGUUGCUCUAAUCUUGUCCUCCCUCUGCCUAGAAGACAUCACUGACUCCAUUGAUCCAAAGCAGUAAUUCCGGAAGUGUCUUCUGAGGUACCUUAGUUGACAGUGAUUCUAAUACAAGACUCAAAGCUGUAUUUUUCUUUUAAAUAUAAAUAUUUAUUGAGUCUCUGUUAGGUGCCAUACCCUAACAGAUUCUGUGCACACAGUGAUGAGCAACUUAGACAUGUCCAAUGCCCUCAUGGUGUUUACCAUUUAUCAUGGAAGACAUCAAACAGUUACUACUGUGAAAAGUAUUUUGAAGAAAAAGUGAAGGGUGUUAUAGAAAUGAAAAAGGGGCAGUGGUUGUGAAAUCUAGUCUGAAUACUCAGGAAAGUUGAGCCCUGGAGCAUGAGCAGGAUUCAGUACGCUAGGAUGGGGACAAUAGUGCCAGGCAGCAGGAACCACUGUGUACGUCACCACCCUAGCACUGGAAAGAGCAGGACAUGUUUCAGUGACAGAAAGAAGGUGGUUUGGCUUGAAGACAAGUAGUGCUCUAAAAGGACAAUCCCUGAGUGACUUUGCAGCAUCAUCGGGAACGCUUCCUAAAAAUGUAAAUACCUGAUUCUCACCUCCAAUUGUUAAAUCAGGGAUGGAACUCUGAUAGAUUGAUUGCAAAAAUGGAUUUCCUGGGUCAAUAACCUUUGUAGUGUGACUUUGCAGCUUUUUCCAUGAAGAGAUGGAAAUCUCUUUCUCCACUCUUUGAAUCUGGACUGGCCUUAUCACCCACGUUGGCCAACAGAAUGAGGUGGAAGUGUUCUCAUGCCAAUUAGGAGCCCAAGAUUCAAGAAGUAGUGUGUUCUCUGCUCUUUCUCUUGGAACUCUGGCUCUAAUAUGUAAACAAAAGCAGGUGAGCCAGCUAGAGAACAAGGGACCAUAUGGAGGAGAGUCCAGUUGUCCCUCUGAGGCCAUCCUAGACCAGCCUACAGCAAGCCAGCUCCUUAACAUGUAAGUGAGCUCAGCCAAAAUCAACAGAACUGCUCACCUGACCCACACCUGGCAGCAGAUGCACUAGUAAGUCCAGGGGAGACCAGUGGUGUAAAACCAUAAUCAUUUGAACACUAACAACUGGUUGUAUGUUCAGCCACUCAGAGUGGGUGGUUUGUUACGCAGCAAAUAAAACCAAUACAGGAAUCAAGAAUAUGGACAAGGAUUUUUGAGAGCAGAAUAGGCAGAGGUCAGAUCUAGUAGGACUUUGUAGGGCAUGAAGAGGGUUUGGCAUUUUAUCCUAACAGUUAUGUGAAGCUUUCGAAAGGUUUUGAGCAUGGAAGUGACACAAUUAGGUUUGCGUCAUAGAAAGAUUAACUUGGCUACUUUGUGGAGAAUGAACUACAGGAGAAGAGGAUGAAUCAAGCUAGACUGAAUUCAACUUAAGUUUUGUUUUGUUUCACUUUUUUCUUUAAGUAGGUAAACUGAGAUCCAACUCUGCAUUAAGUAAUGGGAUUACAAGGAAUAAGACCCAUACCCUGUCCUCAAGUCUGGAGGGAGACUGAGAGUUAUGAUGUAUUUUAACAAGUACCAUAAUGGAGAUUCACUCAGGUAGUCAUGUUGGUGUGGAGAAGUAGCACCUAGACCAACCUGGGGGAAAAUCCAGGAUUCUGUCCAACUGGUGAUAGCUGAGAAUGCCCUGAAGAUGGGAACAUCAUUUCCUAGGAAGAGGAAGGAGCCUAAGUGAAAUACAGUGUUGCCAAAGUAUGAAGCACGAGGUGGGAAGCAGAGGAACUAGAUGGGCUAGGUGCGUAGAGUCCACGUCACAGAGUCUUCUUUGUGCCUAUUGAGGCUGUAGACAGGCAACAGUGCAACAGGAGCUGCAUGGCAGACGUUCCUGAUGCCUGAGACAUGAAUGGACUGGUAUAGAAGAAGCUCAGUUAAGAAGGGCAGGACCCUGCUCUGGGAGCCCUUAGGAUGAGUGUUGCCAUGGCCAUUUGACCUGACACAGCUGAGGCAGAGCUGUUUGCUACGUAGGAGGUUGGUGGACAAGACAGAGAAAUCAGCAAUCACCGGAAGUCUCCCUUGGUUUAUAGAUUUUGACCCAGGUUCCUACAGUAGCCCUCAGUUUCUCCUGAUUGUCUUCUGGAAGCCAGCAGUCAGCGGAGGCAAGAAGAGAACAUUUUUUGCUGUGGCACCUCCUCCUCCCCAGAGUGUUUGGCAUCUUGUGCUGCCAGUCUCCAGCUGUCUGUCUAGACGAAGCCCAGAUUGGACGUGUGAGGUAUAGAACACUGUGAUCCAGGCCUACUCACUCUUGGCCAACUGGAGGGUGAGCACUGGGGACAAAAUCUGUGCUGGAAAGAUUGGGGACAUCUUUUUCCUAUUAGCAGUUGGAUGCUCCCACGACCCAUGGAUGUCUCUGGCCACUGUACUGCCAUGUCUCCAAAUAUACACUGGACCCAAGGCUGCUUAGAGGAGCCCUCCGUCUCAUGCCUCUGCUGACCAUUUCUUGGGCAUCAGAACAAACAUCAUUUGAUCACAAGGGCAGAGAUCCCUGGGCAACCUCAAAACCUCUAAGGAUAGUAACUAUUUUUAAAGAUUAAAUUCCUGUCUGUGCAAGACCUAGACACUCAUAUUAUCCUCCCAUUAUUCUGUGAACGUCACACAACAACUCUGUGAAAGAGACAUUAUAACCCUAUUUUAAAGUGUUAAUUAGGAAACCAAGUAACUUGCCCAGAAUCUCCCAGCUACAGAUGCAAUGGAGCCAGGACUGCAACUCAGAACUGCUUGAGUCUGUGCCCCACAUUCUAUCUAUUCAACUACACUGCCUUUGCUGCCCAACCUCGUCAAUCACAGAUGAGGACAAAAGGACAAGAGAGAGAAAAUGAUUUGCUGAGACGUGUGGCAGAGCCUAGCUCUCUCACUCGAGGCUCUGGACUCUCAUUUCCUUCUCCCUCGGGGCACUCUCAUCUUCUCCUUGGUAUAUUUCCUGAGUCACUGCUCCAGGUCUGCCUCAUUCAACCUGGGAGGCAUGAAGCUGGCUGGAAAUCCCAGACAGCUGAGUCUGAUCCUCUCAGCAGACGCAGCUCCCAGGUCCCCUACUGGCCUAGAAGCAGGCAAGGGCCUCUGACAGAGAGCUGGUAUGAGGUGUGGGGUACCACAUGCAAACCCUGGACUUCACAUCAGACGUUCACACUGGAAGGACUCUGGAGGCAGUUAAGACCCUAAUGUUUAUUGUGAUCAUUUGAAUGAAGUUUUUGUCUUCCUUCAUGAGAAUUGCUUUCUUUUUUCCAUAACUAUUGAUCCUGUAUCUUGCCCUGGAGGGCAAGAUUAGUAGUAUUAGCUCAUAUCUGUCACUUUCAUUUUACCCAUAUCACUGUGGCUCCAUGGAGUGAGAGCUGUGCACUGUGGAAGACGCCUCUGUCUGUUCCUCCAAGCACCUACUACCAAGAAGCUCAUUUGCCAGGAUCAUAGAAUCAGGGCAGGACCAGCUGUGUAAUUUGUGGCACCUAAUGCAAAAUGAAAAUGUGAGGCCCUUCAUCAAAAAUUACUGAAAAUUUCAAGGUCUGAUAGUACAGCGUUACACCAAGCACAGAGCCCAUCUAAAGCUGGACACUCACGGAGCUGGCCCUGAGUGGGACUGUAGAAAUGUAGCAGAGAUGGAGAAGACAGGGCAGUUAGAGCUGGAAUAAGUUUAUCUGAGCAUUAGCAAUGCCAUCUAUGCAAUAGGGUGAUGACACUGACUGCCAAUUGUGCGUGAAUCAUGGGUAAUAUACAGAGACUACUGGGAAAUGUCAGGUGUUGAUUAAGAAGACACGCCCCUUUCCCUAAGAGAGAAUCUAGUUCAAAUCUCUCAUCUUGCAGAGAAGUAACCUGAAGCCCAGAGAAGAAGAAUGGCUUUCCACAUUUAGCCAGCUGCCUCGGAUGUUUCCUGCUUGACUAACGAGGCAGGGCCUUAGUGCUCAUCGGCAGAUGGUUUGGAGACUGAGUCAACCAUCUGUAAGAUUGGCCUCCACUUCCUGCCCAGCUGCUGGGUCCCAUGAUGGGAUCAUACUGAAAUGAACGUUAUCCUUCACCACAGGAUGCUGGGGAAGAGAACACCGGCUCAGAAGUACUUGACUACCUGCCCAAAGAUGGGGAAACCGAGCAACUGAGAGUGUAAGAAACUUGUCCGAAGUCAUGCAGCUACUAAGUGAGAAAGCAAGGAUCUGAACCCAGAAAGUCAGUCUCCAGAGUUCCUGCUUUUGGCCACUAUGUUCUUGUUAUGGACUGAAUGGUGUCCCCAACCCCAUUCGUAUGUUGAAGUCUUAAUCCCCCGUAGCUCAGAAUGUGACCCUAUUUAGAGAUAAGGUCUUUAAAGAGGUAAUUAAUAUGAUGCCAGUAGUGUGGACCCUAAUCUAAUAUGACUGGUAUCCUCAUAAAAAGAGGCAAUUUGGAUACAGAUAUGUGCACAUACAGAGGAAAGACCACGUGAGAACACAACCAGAAGGUGGCCAACUGCAACCUAAGGGGACAGGCCUCAGAAGAAACCAAAUUUUGCUGACAUGAUGAUCUCGGACCCCUAGCCUCCAGAACUUUGAGAAAAUAAAGUCCUGUUGUUUAAGGCACGCA